GACGUAGGGCGCGAGCGUUGUCCGGAUUUAUUGGGCGUAAAGAGCUCGUAGGCGGCUUGUCGCGUCGACUGUGAAAACCCGUGGCUCAACCAUGUGGUCUGCAGUCGAUACGGGCAGGCUAGAAUUCGGUAGGGGAGACUGGAAUUCCUGGUGUAGCGGUGAAAUGCGCAGAUAUCAGGAGGAACACCGGUGGCGAAGGCGGGUCUCUGGGCCGAUAUUGACGCUGAGGAGCGAAAGCGUGGGGAGCGAA
rnacentral:rRNA from 1 species